AGGGGUAUGGGACCUGAGGAAGUUUAGUUGUAGGAGUAUGGGACCUGAGGAAGUUUAGUUGUAGAGGUAUGGGACCUGAGGAAGUUUAGUUGUAGGAGUAUGGGACCUGAGAAAGUUUAGUUGUAGGGGUAUGGGACCUGAGAAAGUUUAGUUGUAGACGUAUGGGACCUGAGGAAGUUUAGUUGUAGAGGUAUGGGACCUGAGGAAGUUAAGUUGUAGGGGUAUGGGACCUGAGGAAGUUUAGUUGUAGGGGUAUGGGACCUGAGGAAGUUUAGUUGUAGGAGUAUGGGACCUGAGGAAGUUUAGUUGUAGGGGUAUGGGACCUGAGGAAGUUUAGUUGUAGAGGUAUGGGACCUGAGGAAGUUUAGUUGUAG